rnacentral:rRNA from 1 species
GAUGAACGCUGGCGGCGUGCCUAAUACAUGCAAGUCGAACGAACGGACCCGGAGCUUGCUUUUCUGAUGUUAGCGGCGGACGGGUGAGUAACACGUGGAUAACCUACCUAUAAGACUGGGAUAACUUCGGGAAACCGGAGCUAAUACCGGAUAAUAUUUUGAACCGCAUGGUUCAAAAGGGAAAGACGGUCUUACCGUCUCUUAUAGAUUGAUCCCCGCUGCAUUAGCUAGUUGGUGAGGUAACGGCUUACCAAGGCACCGAUGCAUAGCCGACCUGAGAGGGUGAUCGGCCACACUGGAACUGAGACACGGCCCAAACUCCUACGGGAGGCAGCAGUAGGGAAUCUUCCGCAAAGGGCGAAAGCCUGACGGAGCAACGCCGCGUGAGUGAUGAAGGUCUUCGGAUCGUAAAACUCUGUUAUUAGGGAAGAACAAAUGUGUAAGUAACUGUGAACAUCUUGACGGUACCUAAUCAGAAAGCCACGGCUAACUACGUG